UACUUACUUCCUCCGUUCUAAAUUAUUUGUCUUAGAUUUGUCUAGAUAUAGAAGUAUCUAGUACUAAAAUGAGUUUAGAUACAUUCAUAUCUAAUAAAUCCAACACAAGUAAUUCGGAACGGAGGGAGUACAUA
rfam:Triticum aestivum genome assembly, contig: Triticum_aestivum_CS42_TGACv1_scaffold_114616_2AS